rnacentral:rRNA from 1 species
AACGAACGCUGGCGGCAGGCUUAACACAUGCAAGUCGAACGCCCCGCAAGGGGAGUGGCAGACGGGUGAGUAACGCGUGGGAAUCUACCCAGCUCUACGGAAUAACCCAGGGAAACUUGG